rnacentral:rRNA from 1 species
UGCAACCCGACUCCGUGAAGCUGGAUUCGCUAGUAAUCGCGCAUCAGCCAUGGCGCGGUGAAUACGUUCCCGGGCCUUGUACACACCGCCCGUCAAGCCAUGGGGAGCCGGGGGGUGCUUGAAGUGCGUCGCCGCAAGGCGCGCCCUAGAGCAAAACCGGUGACUGGGGCUAAGUCGUAACAAGGUACC